GGUCAAGCGAACAAGUGCAUGUGGUGGAUGCCUUGGCGAUCACAGGCGAUGAAGGACGCGGUAGCCUGCGAAAAGCCCCGGGGAGCUGGCAAACAAGCUUUGAUCCGGGGAUGUCCGAAUGGGGAAACCCACUCCGUAUGGAGUAUCCAUGACUGAAUACAUAGUCAUGUGAAGCGAACGCGGUGAACUGAAACAUCUAAGUAACCGCAGGAAAAGAAAUCAACCGAGAUCCCAAAGUAGUGGCGAGCGAAUGGGAUGAGCCUUGUACUCUUUAUUCGUAUUGUUAGCCGAACGCUCUGGAAAGUGCGGCCAUAGCAGGUGAUAGCCCUGUAGGCGAAAACAGUAUGAAAGAACUAGGUGUACGACAAGUAGGGCGGGACACGUGAAAUCCUGUCUGAAGAUGGGGGGACCAUCCUCCAAGGCUAAAUACUCGUGAUCGACCGAUAGUGAACCAGUACCGUGAGGGAAAGGCGAAAAGAACCCCGGGAGGGGAGUGAAAUAGAUCCUGAAACCGCAUGCAUACAAACAGUCGGAGCCUCGUAAGGGGUGACGGCGUACCUUUUGUAUAAUGGGUCAGCGACUUACGUUCAGUAGCAAGCUUAACCGUAUAGGGCAGGCGUAGCGAAAGCGAGUCCGAAUAGGGCGUUCAGUUGCUGGGCGUAGACCCGAAACCAGGUGAUCUAUCCAUGGCCAGGAUGAAGGUGCGGUAACACGUACUGGAGGUCCGAACCCACUAACGUUGAAAAGUUAGGGGAUGAGCUGUGGAUAGGGGUGAAAGGCUAAACAAACCUGGAAAUAGCUGGUUCUCUCCGAAAACUAUUUAGGUAGUGCCUCGUGUCUCACCUUCGGGGGUAGAGCACUGUCAUGGUUGGGGGGUCUAUUGCAGAUUACCCCGCCAUAGCAAACUCCGAAUACCGAAGAGUGCAAUCACGGGAGACAGACAUCGGGUGCUAACGUCCGGUGUCAAGAGGGAAACAACCCAGACCGCCAGCUAAGGUCCCCAAAUAUGGCUAAGUGGGAAACGAAGUGGGAAGGCUAAAACAGUCAGGAGGUUGGCUUAGAAGCAGCCACCCUUUAAAGAAAGCGUAAUAGCUCACUGAUCGAGUCGUCCUGCGCGGAAGAUGUAACGGGGCUAAGCCAUAUACCGAAGCUGCGGAUGCGAGCUUGCUCGCAUGGUAGGAGAGCGUUCCGUAAGCCUGCGAAGGUGCCUUGUAAAGGGUGCUGGAGGUAUCGGAAGUGCGAAUGCUGACAUGAGUAGCGAUAAAGGGGGUGAAAGGCCCCCUCGCCGUAAGCCCAAGGUUUCCUACGCAACGUUCAUCGGCGUAGGGUGAGUCGGCCCCUAAGGCGAGGCAGAAAUGCGUAGCUGAUGGGAAGCAGGUCAAUAUUCCUGCACCGUCGUUAGAUGCGAUGGGGGGACGGAUCGCGGAAGGUUGUCCGGGUGUUGGACGUCCCGGUCGCUGCAUUGGAGAAGGCGCUUAGGCAAAUCCGGGCGCAGGAUUCAAGGGUGUGGCGCGAGCGACUUCGGUCGCGAAGCAAUUGGAAGUGGUUCCAAGAAAAGCCUCUAAGCUUCAGUCUAACGAUGACCGUACCGCAAACCGACACAGGUGGGCGAGAUGAGUAUUCUAAGGCGCUUGAGAGAACUCGGGAGAAGGAACUCGGCAAAUUGGUACCGUAACUUCGGGAUAAGGUACGCCCUUGUAGCUUGACCAGCCUGCGCUGGAAGGGUGAAGGGGUUGCAAUAAACUGGUGGCUGCGACUGUUUAAUAAAAACACAGCACUCUGCAAACACGAAAGUGGACGUAUAGGGUGUGACGCCUGCCCGGUGCCGGAAGAUUAAAUGAUGGGGUGCAAGCUCUUGAUUGAAGUCCCGGUAAACGGCGGCCGUAACUAUAACGGUCCUAAGGUAGCGAAAUUCCUUGUCGGGUAAGUUCCGACCUGCACGAAUGGCGUAACGAUGGCCACACUGUCUCCUCCCGAGACUCAGCGAAGUUGAAGUGUUUGUGAUGAUGCAAUCUACCCGCGGCUAGACGGAAAGACCCCAUGAACCUUUACUGUAGCUUUGCAUUGGACUUUGAACCGAUCUGUGUAGGAUAGGUGGGAGGCUAUGAAACCGGAACGCUAGUUUCGGUGGAGCCGUCCUUGAAAUACCACCCUGGUUUGUUUGAGGUUCUAACCUUGGUCCGUGAUCCGGAUCGGGGACAGUGCAUGGUAGGCAGUUUGACUGGGGCGGUCUCCUCCCAAAGGGUAACGGAGGAGUACGAAGGUACGCUAGGUACGGUCGGAAAUCGUGCUGAUAGUGCAAUGGCAUAAGCGUGCUUAACUGCGAGACCGACAAGUCGAGCAGGUGCGAAAGCAGGUCAUAGUGAUCCGGUGGUUCUGUAUGGAAGGGCCAUCGCUCAACGGAUAAAAGGUACUCUGGGGAUAACAGGCUGAUACCGCCCAAGAGUUCAUAUCGACGGCGGUGUUUGGCACCUCGAUGUCGGCUCAUCUCAUCCUGGGGCUGUAGCCGGUCCCAAGGGUAUGGCUGUUCGCCAUUUAAAGAGGUACGUGAGCUGGGUUUAAAACGUCGUGAGACAGUUUGGUCCCUAUCUGCCGUGGGCGUUGGAUAUUUGAAGGGGGCUGCUCCUAGUACGAGAGGACCGGAGUGGACGAACCUCUGGUGUACCGGUUGUGACGCCAGUCGCAUCGCCGGGUAGCUAUGUUCGGAAGAGAUAACCGCUGAAAGCAUCUAAGCGGGAAACUCGCCUUAAGAUGAGAUAUCCCUGGAGGCUUGACCUCCUUGAAGGGUCGUUCGAGACCAGGACGUUGAUAGGUCGGGUGUGUAAGCGCAGUAAUGCGUUCAGCUAACCGAUACUAAUUGCCCGUAAGGCUUGAUCCU
rnacentral:rRNA from 1 species